GUUAUGCAAGUUGGUAGGGGAGCAUUCUAUUAUAGGGAGAAGCAUGACCGGAAGGACAUGUGGACGAGAUAGAAGAGAGAAUGCCGGAAUGAGUAGCGAGAAUUAUGUGAGAAUCAUAAUGGUCGAAAACCUAAGGUUUCUUGAGGAAGGUUCGUCCGCUCAAGGUAAGCCGGGAGCUAAGGCGAGGCCGAAAGGCGUAGUCGAUGCACAUACGGUAGAAAUUCCGUAGCCACCGAAAUUGUUAAGCACAGGGACGCAGGAACAUAAUCCAACCGCACCGAUGGUCGAGUGCGGCGAAAGGGAGCGAAAAUUAAGUAGCGAAGUGGAUGAUUGUACACUGACGAGAAAAGCUGUGUGGAUUGAUGAGGUGCCCGUACCGUAAACCGACACAGGUGGGUGAGGAGAGAAUCCUAAGACCAGCGGGAGAAGUGUUGUUAAGGAACUCGGCAAAUUGACCCCGUAACUUCGGGAAAAGGGGUGCCUGCUAGCGCAGGCCGCAGAGAAUAGGCCCAAGCGACUGUUUAGCAAAAACACAGGUCUCUGCUAAAUCGAAAGAUGAAGUAUAGGGGCUGACGCCUGCCCGGUGCCGGAAGGUUAAGAGGAGGACUUAGCGCAAGCGAAGGUCUGAGUUGAAGCCCCGGUAAACGGCGGCCGUAACGAUAACGGUCCUAAGGUAGCGAAAUUCCUUGUCAGGUAAGUUCUGACCCGCACGAAUGGCGUAACGAUUUGGGCACUGUCUCAACAACACACCCGGUGAAAUUGUAGUACCGGUGAAGAUGCCGGUUACCCGCGACUAGACGGAAAGACCCCAUGGAGCUUUACUGUAACUUGAUAUUGGAUUUUGGUAUUGCAUGUACAGGAUAGGUGGGAGACUGAGAAGCACAGACGCCAGUUUGUGUGGAGUCAAUGUUGGGAUACCACUCUUGUGAUACUGGAAUUCUAACCUGCGGCCGUGAAACCGGUCGGGGGACAAUGUCUGGUGGACAGUUUGACUGGGGCGGUCGCCUCCUAAAGAGUAACGGAGGCGUUCAAAGGUUAGCUCAGUACGGUCAGAAAUCGUACGAAGAGUGCAAACGCAAAAGCAAGCCUAACUGCGAGACGAACAGGUCGAGCAGUGACGAAAGUUGGAGUUAGUGAUCCGGCGGUAAGAGAGUGGAAUUGCCGUCGCUCAACGGAUAAAAGCUACCCUGGGGAUAACAGGCUGAUCUCCCCCAAGAGUCCAUAUCGACGGGGAGGUUUGGCACCUCGAUGUCGGCUCAUCGCAUCCUGGAGCUGGAGUCGGUUCCAAGGGUUGGGCUGUUCGCCCAUUAAAGCGGUACGCGAGCUGGGUUCAGAACGUCGCGAGACAGUUCGGUCCCUAUCUGUCGCGGGCGCAGGAAAUUUGAAGGGAGCUGUCCUUAGUACGAGAGGACCGGGAUGGACGUACCACUGGUGUACCAGUUGUCUUGCCAAAGGCACGGCUGGGUAGCUAAGUACGGAAGGAAUAAACGCUGAAGGCAUCUAAGCGUGAAGUCCCCCCUAAGAUAAGAUUUCCCAUUCUUUAAAAGAAGUAAGACCCCACGUAGACUAUGUGGUUGAUAGGUCGGAGGUGUAAGUGUGGUAACACAUUAAGCUGACCGAUACUAAUAGGUCGAGGGCUUGAC
rnacentral:rRNA from 1 species